rnacentral:rRNA from 1 species
GACGAAGGAUCCAAGCGUCGUCCGGAUUUACUGGGUUUAAAGGGUGCGUAGGCGGAUUAAUAAGUCAGAGGUGAAAGCCUGCAGCUCAACUGUAGAAUUGCCUUUGAAACUGUUAAUCUAGAGUACAUUUGAGGUGGCUGGAAUAUAUCAUGUAGCGGUGAAAUGCUUAGAUAUGAUAUAGAACACCGAUUGCGAAGGCAGGUCACUAAGAUGAAACUGACGCUGAGGCGCGAAAGCGUGGGUAGCAAACAGG